AUUGAACGCUGGCGGCAGGCUUAACACAUGCAAGUCGAGCGGAGCGAGGGUGCUUGCACCUUAGCUUAGCGGCGGACGGGUGAGUAAUGCUUAGGCAUCUGCCUAUUAGUGGGGGACAACAUUCCGAAAGGGAUGCUAAUACCGCAUACGCCCUACGGGGGAAAGCAGGGGAUCUUCGGACCUUGCGCUAAUAGAUGAGCCUAAGUCGGAUUAGCUAGAUGGUGGGGUAAAGGCCUACCAAGGCGACGAUCUGUAGCGGGUCUGAGAGGAUGCUCCGCCACACUGGGACUGAGACACGGCCCAGACUCCUACGGGAGGCAGCAGUGGGGCAUAUUGGACAAUGGGCGGAAGCCUGAUCCAGCCAUGCCGCGUGUGUGAAGAAGGCCUUUUGGUUGUAAAGCACUUUAAGCGAGGAGGAGGCUACUAGUAUUAAUACUACUGGAUAGUGGACGUUACUCGCAGAAUAAGCACCGGCUAACUCUGUGCCAGCAGCCGCAGUAA
rnacentral:rRNA from 1 species